GCGUCUUGUGCACACACGCACAGUGUUCUCAUGGGGACAUGCGGCCAGCAGAGCCAGCCACGGCCUCCUGUCAGACUGUCAAACAGAAGAGUCGACUCUCCAGAGAAAAGGAGGCGCGAAGUCUUCCAGUGUCCAUCUGUGGCAGUCAAGAUGGACGCCGACAACCAGUCUGAGCGGGCUCAGUCGGCCAUCUUGUUUUCAGCGUGGGUGCAGAGGGACUGUGUGCUGCUUAAAAAGCAAAAAAAAAAAAAAAAAAG